rnacentral:lncRNA from 10 species
CAGAGUUUUGCUCUUGUUGCCCAGGCUGGAGUGCAAUGGCGCUAUCUCAGCUCACUGCAACCUCUGCCUCCCGGGUUCAAGCAAUUCUCCUGCCUCGGCCUCCCAAGUAGCUGGGAUUACAGGCAUGCACCACCAUGCCCAGCUAAUUUUGUAUUCUUAGUAGAGACAGGGUUUCUCCAUAUUGGUCAGGCUUGGUCUCAAACUCCCGAUCUCAGGUGAUCUGCCCACCUCAGCCUCCCAAAGUGCUGGGAUUACAGGCAAGAGCCACCGCGCCCAGCACGGUCUUUUCAAAGACCAGAUAAUUUAUUUAAUCAACUGUCUAAAGAUGGACAUUGUGAUUGAUCACACUAUUUUAUAUGUAACAUUGAAUGGAGUGGGUGAGUCCUAGGAAACAUUCUCUCCUAAAAGUUUACAUUUUUCAUUGACUAGAAGUGACCAAAAUAGAUUCUACUGAUGAGAAAAGACUUUUGAAAGCAGUAUGGUCAGGUUGGCAGGUGAAUGGCCUCAAGAGCUUAGGAUUUCAUUGCUACUAAAAGAACAAGACUAUUCAGUUGUGAAACAAUGAUUUAGUCAAAUACUGAUGCUGUCUCAGAUGAGUAACUGCAAAUCACUUCAAAAGGUAGAAGGGUAGCUUAAAUGUGAAAAAGGUUACUGCCACUUCAUGUAGGGAAGAUAACAAGCAUUUGCAAAUAGCAAAAUAGAAAGAAAUAAAUGGUUUCAGUACAAGCUCUUAUA